AGAUUGAACGCUGGCGGCAGGCCUAACACAUGCAAGUCGAGCGGCAGCACGGGUACUUGUACCUGGUGGCGAGCGGCGGACGGGUGAGUAAUGCCUAGGAAUCUGCCUGGUAGGUGGGGGAUAACGCUCGGAAACGGACGCUAAUACCGCAUACGUCCUACGGGAGAAAGCAGGGGACCUUCGGGCCUUGCGCUAUCAGAUGAGCCUAGGUCGGAUUAGCUA
rnacentral:rRNA from 1 species